CCUACGGGAGGCAGCAGUGGGGAAUAUUGGACAAUGGGCGAAAGCCUGAUCCAGCAAUGCCGCGUGUGUGAAGAAGGCCUUCGGGUUGUAAAGCACUUUAAGUUGGGAAGAAAAAGCUCUGGCUAAUAUCUAGAGCCUUGACGGUACCAACAGAAUAAGCACCGGCUAACUCUGUGCCAGCAGCCGCGGUAAUACAGAGGGUGCUAGCGUUAAUCGGAUUUACUGGGCGUAAAGCGUGCGUAGGCGGUUUGAUAAGUCGAUUGUGAAAGCCCCGGGCUUAACCUGGGAAUUGCAGUUGAUACUGUCAGACUAGAAAACGGUAGAGGGAGGCGGAACUCCAGGUGUAGCGGUGAAAUGCGUAGAUAUCUGGAAGAACACCGAUGGCGAAGGCAACCUCCUGGGCCUGUUUUGACGCUGAGGCACGAAAGCGUGGGUAGCAAACAGGAUUAGAUACCCUGGUAGUCCACGCCGUAAACGAUGAGAACUUGACGUUGGUUUGCUUAGCAAAUCGGUGUCGUAGCUAACGCGAUAAGUUCUCCGCCUGGGGAUACGGCCGCAAGGUUGAAACUCAAAUGAAUUGACGG
rnacentral:rRNA from 1 species